UUUCUGGGGAUCCAAAGCAGAGGCGCUAUUUUCGGGACACCGGCACAACCCUGUGAAACGCCAAAACCUGUGGGGGACCAUAACCCGCGAUAUGGAGUACCCCCGGGUGAGUCCCCACGCCCUUAAACGCGGUGGAAAAUUUAAUCCGUUGGGAGAUGUGCCUAGCCCCAUCUUUUCAAGUGGAAGCCAAGUCUAAACGCCCUAUGAAACGAUUCCCGCCUGGGAUUACCGCCCCAAGGUUAAACUUCAAAGGGAUUAGGCCGGGGACCCGCACAAGUGUGGGAGCAUGUGGUUUAAUUCGAAGAUACGCGAAGAACCUUACCUGGGCCCUUGACAUAUACCAGAAUCUACCAGAGAUGGUGGAGUGCCUUCGGGGAAGCUGGUAUACAGGUGCUGCACGGGCUGUCGUCAGCUCGUGUCGUGAGAUGUUGGGUUAAGUCCCGCAACGAGCGCAACCCUCGUGACUAGUUACUAACAGCAUAGGCUGAGGACUCUAGUCAGACUGCCUUCGUAAGGAGGAGGAAGGUGAGGACGACGUCAAGUCAUCAUGGCCCUUACGGCCAGGGCGACACACGUGCUACAAUGGGAAGGACAAAGAGAAGCAAAACUGUGAGGUGGAGCAAAUCUAUAAACCUUUUCUCAGUUCGGAUUGCAGUCUGCAACUCGACUGCAUGAAGCUGGAAUCACUAGUAAUCGUGAAUCAGCCAUGUCACGGUGAAUACGUUCCCGGGUCUUGUACUCACCGCCCGUCACACCAUGGGAGUUGAUUUCACCCGAAGCGGGGAUGCUAAAUAGGCUACCCGCCACGGUGGAAUUAGCGACUGGGGUGAAGUCGUAACAAGGUAACCGUAGGAGAACCUGCGGUUG
rnacentral:rRNA from 1 species